GCACCUACCGAUUGAAUGGUUCGGUGAAAAUCUCGGACUGCGGCUUGGGUGCCUUCGGGCAGCCAAGCUGUGGAAAGUUGUUUAAACCUCAUCAUUUAGAGGAAGGUGAAGUCGUAACAAGGUUUCCGUAGGUGAACCUGCAGAAGGAUCAAUAUCGAUAGGACGUCCUUUAGGGAAAGAGUGUGGGUAUCGGUCGUCGGCGGACGAAUAAAAAAAAAAAAAAAAUAAACGAGAGAAAGAUCGAGCUAGCUACACGUAUCAGCAGAGUGGCGCAGA
rnacentral:misc_RNA from 1 species